ACUCCUACGGGAGGCAGCAGUGGGGAAUCUUAGACAAUGGGCGCAAGCCUGAUCUAGCCAUGCCGCGUGAGUGAUGAAGGCCUUAGGGUCGUAAAGCUCUUUCGCCAGGGAUGAUAAUGACAGUACCUGGUAAAGAAACCCCGGCUAACUCCGUGCCAGCAGCCGCGGUAAUACGGAGGGGGUUAGCGUUGUUCGGAAUUACUGGGGCGUAAAGCGCGCGUAGGCGGAUUAGUCAGUUAGAGGUGAAAUCCCGGGGCUCAACCCCGGAACUGCCUUUAAUACUGCUAGUCUUGAGUUCGAGAGAGGUGAGUGGAAUUCCGAGUGUAGAGGUGAAAUUCGUAGAUAUUCGGAGGAACACCAGUGGCGAAGGCGGCUCACUGGCUCGAUACUGACGCUGAGGUGCGAAAGCGUGGGGAGCAAACAGGAUUAGAUACCCUGUAGCACAGAG
rnacentral:rRNA from 1 species